UACAGAGGGGGCAAGCGUUGUUCGGAAUUACUGGGCGUAAAGGGCGCGUAGGCGGCCUGCUAAGUCGAACGUGAAAUCCCUGGGCUCAACCUCGGAACUGCAUUCGAUACUGCGGUGCUUGAGGACUGGAGAGGAGACUGGAAUUCAUGGUGUAGCAGUGAAAUGCGUAGAGAUCAUGAGGAAGACCAGUGGCGAAGGCGGGUCUCUGGACAGUUCCUGACACUGAGGCACGAAGGCCAGGGGAGCAAACGGG
rnacentral:rRNA from 1 species